GACAGAGGGUGCAAACGUUGUUCGGAAUUACUGGGCGUAAAGCGUGUGUAGGCGGCUUUGCAAGUCGGAUGUGAAAGCCCCGGGCUCAACCCGGGAAGUGCACUCGAUACUGCAGGGCUAGAGUAUCGGAGAGGUUGGUGGAAUUCUCGGUGUAGAGGUGAAAUUCGUAGAUAUCGAGAGGAACACCGGCGGCGAAGGCGGCCAACUGGACGAUUACUGACGCUGAGGCGCGAAAGCGUGGGGAGCAAACAGG
rnacentral:rRNA from 1 species